AGCGAACGCUGGCGGCAGGCCUAACACAUGCAAGUCGAACGAACCUUUCGGGGUUAGUGGCGGACGGGUGAGUAACACGUGGGAACGUGCCUUUAGGUUCGGAAUAACUCAGGGAAACUUGUGCUAAUACCGAAUGUGCCCUUCGGGGGAAAGAUUUAUCGCCUUUAGAGCGGCCCGCGUCUGAUUAGCUAGUUGGUUGAGGUAAUGGCUCACCAAGGCGACGAUCAGUAGCUGGUCUGAGAGGAUGAUCAGCCACAUUGGGACUGAGACACGGCCCAAACUCCUACGGGAGGCAGCAGUGGGGAAUCUUGCGCAAUGUGCGAAAGCCUGACGCAGCCAUGCCGCGUGAAUGAUGAAGGUCUUAGGAUUGUAAAAUUCUUUCACCGGGGACGAUAAUGACGGUACCCGGAGAAGAAGCCCCGGCUAACUUCGUG
rnacentral:rRNA from 1 species